CGGGAGUAACAACCUGGAAACAAGAUGCUAAUAACCGGAUAACAAACAGAUGAUGCCUAUCAACUGUUUAAAAGAUGGUUCUGCUAUCACUCUUGGAUGGACCUGCGGUGCAUUAGCUAGUUGGUAGGGUAACGGCCUACCAAGGCGAUGAUGCAUAGCCGAGUUGAGAGACUGAUCGGCCACAUUGGGACUGAGACACGGCCCAAACUCCUACGGGAGGCAGCAGUG
rnacentral:rRNA from 1 species